GACGAACGCUGGCGGCGUGCUUAACACAUGCAAGUCGAACGGAAAGGCCCUGCUUUUGUGGGGUGCUCGAGUGGCGAACGUGUGAGUAACACGUGAGUAACCUGCCCUUGACUUUGGGAUAACUUCAGGAAACUGGGGCUAAUACCGGAUAGGAGCUCCUGCUGCAUGGUGGGGGUUGGAAAGUUUCGGCGGUUGGGGAUGGACUCGCGGCUUGUCAGCUUGUUGGUGGGGUAGUGGCUUACCAAGGCUUUGACGGUUGCCCGCAUGUGAGGGUGACCGGCGACAUUAGGACUGAGAGACGGCCCAGACGCCUACGGGAGGCAGCGGUGGGGAAUAUUGCACAAUGGGCGGGAGCCUGAUGCAGCAACGUCGGGUGCGGGAAGAAGGCCUUCGGGGUGUAAACCGCUUUAAGCUGUGACGAAGCGGGAGUGACGGUAAUGGGUAAAGAAGCACCGGCUAACUACGUG
rnacentral:rRNA from 1 species